rnacentral:lncRNA from 1 species
AGAUAUCGCACGGACGGACGCCUAACAACGCCAGCUGGACGAUCCUUCGACGGACGUAGUCUGGCAGUGGCCGUCCAUUGACGAAUACGCCACCCAAUUGGUUGACCCCGGCUUGACCUGUUCAUAUUCCACCAAUAAUAAACCUGUAUGGGGCAUGAUCCAGCGACCGGAAUCCAGCAGUUUAAUAAGGGGCGGAUGACGAGCUAUGAACGAGGGGCGGAAAAAUGACGUCCUGCUGAAACGAUCGAAAUGGGAUUGUUUGAAUAAUACAAAUUCUCCGGAUGAUUGAAAUUUUACCUUUUUGAAAUUGGCGAUGUAUGAAAAUCCGCACAAAACUGGAGAACUCACUUUAAUUACUUGCGACGCAGACGACCGAGUGAACCGACAAGAGCGGCCGGAAUUGCAGCGAUUUGGACUUUUAUAGAUGCGCGGUGAAGAAGUGAUUUCGGAGGAGGAUGAGGCGCCACCAAUCACCGGCGUAUCGGUUUCUGGAGGGGGGCAUAAACGAAACGGCUUUCAAAAGGACCGCACACACACACACACACACGGGUGAGAAUGGGCGUUGAUAUUUCUGCCGCCUAUAAAUUUCUUUAUUCGCGUUGCGUCUGCGUGUCUCAUCUGACGUCAGCAUUUGCCCAGCAGCAGCACAGUCUCAACGUCGCCAGCGUAAACUAUAAUAGUCCCAAGCAUAGCCGGAACUGCACCAACUCUCUUUACAGCUCCGCCCUGUCUCCUUCUUCCGGACAAGACUCCGCCCCACGACUGGAGGGUCACGGAACCAACCGCAAAUCUCAUCCGAAAACUUUUCUGAGCCACUCCCCCCCUCUCCAACCCCGGAUCCAUUUCUAUAUGUGCUGCACAAACAUCAUCAAAUCUAAGCUAAAGACAAUCAUUUUGCCAUGAUUCGCAUCAUUCGAAAUGGUGUGUCUAUUUGGCGAGAGGAAGAAGAAAUUACCGGAUGGCAUCCAUCGGAAGUUGCGGAUCUGUGGCUUAUACACAACCUCCCCCGAGAUCCCCCCCAAAAAGUUCAUUUACUCGGCCUAAACCUUUUGAUAAUUAUCUCUCUCCUAUAACCCGCGAAGCACUGAUUGUCGUCUUACUUAUAACCUAACCAAACAGUCCAUACGGAAUUUAUAUCUUUUUUUAGACAAUAACAAAGCCAUUCAUCAAGUCUCAUCGCCGGACCCCCCCUAUCCAUAUCCGCUCCUAUACAGGAAGGUUCCGAAGAGGGGGUAAAAAAGGCUCUUUUGUGUGUCAGAUGAGAAGAGUAUUGGCUUGAUGAUUCGCUGGAAAAACGCCGUUUGCGCUGUACACAAGAGCUGCUGGGCCGCGCCAACUGUCCAAUCGAUCAAGUCGUCGCGCACAGUAUAUAGUUACCUCACUAAAUAAAUCGAGAGAGAGAGAAAAAAAAAGGCGACAGCUAUAAUAUUCUUUUGGGUUGUAUACACACACAAUAGGAGCAGAGAGAGACUGUUGAAUGUGCUACGAGUAUAUUAUACACACAUCAACAUACACAAGAGAAGAAGAGUAGUCAGUUAUUUGGUAAGGGGGGCGACAAAGUUACCGAUCCGGAACAUGGAUACCCUCAUCGACUUAUAUGGUAUAUCCCAACAAUGACACGCAGUCAUAUGCGAUGUCACUUGAAAAAAAUAAAAGAGAGGAUAGCAGAGACUGUUGUAUAUCCUAUUGCUAAAUGUAUUUGAUACGAUUUUUCUUUUAUGUUCUAAAGUUGAGAGCUGUAGUUGAUACUCCCUAUUCAAACGGGGUCACAUUUAUAUAACUACAGACGCGCUCUCAGCACAGAAGUGGAAAAGGUUUUUUUCUGCUAUGACGACGUAAUAGUUGAUUUCGAUUCCGGUGCGCUCUGGCUGCAUCGGCAGAGUGAAGAAAAGUUUCCUUCUUCGCGCGUAUCAGGCGCCGGCCAAACUCUCCCUGGAGGAUCCCAGCAUCGGACAAUGUAGUAUAGCAUUCGGGGCUAGUUUGAGCUCUCUGUCCUCCUUUGACACACUCCCGACGUCUGCUGCUGUGAGUGUCAUCGGUGCUCUCAAUGUAAUCGGGAAUUCAUAAACCCACUCGCUCCGUGGAUUCAAUUCCGUCCUGCAUGGUGGUGGUGGGUGGGUGAGAGAAACUCUCUGCCGAAAAGAAAAAAACCCAUUUUCGUUAGCUCUUUUGUCAUCCGGAAAUUGACUGCUGGCCCCUUUAACAAAACAUUAUUUCUCGUCUAGAGCUAUAUAGCAGGAGCAGGAGCAGCAGCCGCUGGCGCAGUUAUUCAAGCGCGGGAUUUUAUAAUUACGGCGAUAGCCAUCGUUUUGUUGAGCCGCAAAAGACGACGGCGACAAUUGAAAAUAGAUGCGCCGCCUUUAUAUGUGAAGAGCCCGCGCCAUUAUGGAGGUGUAAUCCGGACUGGUGUGUUUGUGUCUAUCCCUAUCUGUUACGACACCAACAAUAUGAGCCGCGGACGCCUUAUUGGAAACUCUCUCUAACCCCGGGCGGACAACAGUCGAGAUAAGCAGAACGUGAGCGUUGACAGCACACACACAGCAGCGGAGAUGAUCUGUUUGGUCCUUUCGAAUUGUUGUUUGCUAUUUUUUUUCCCGGGCUGCUCUCAAGUGUUGGAUAAUCGAGGAGCGUGUUCACAAAAGGAGCAAACGCGGUAUAUCGAUCAUUACAUGAAUGAAAUAACAACUCGACGACCCUUCAUAUCUCCCCCCCCCCCCUUUCUAUUGUGAGAGUCGAUGGGAGUCGGCCGGCCGUAACCAGCAACCUAUAUAAUAGAACUGACACUCUUUUUUUUUUUUUGAAACAGGGGGACCGACGACAAUGGCCGCCAUCCUCGCAUUGGGUUUUUGGUCGUAUAUAAAUCUCAACGAGAUGAGCGGUGCUAUAUAAAUGUUUGCGCUUGGCUCUCCCCAACAUCACAUCAUAAGUCGAUGUAAGUGCUGUGUAACGACACAUCAAAAUAAUCCAAUACAUUUGGAGAGAUGGAUUAGUAUAGGGGAGCAUUAUUUGAGGUUUAGGAUAUUUCUUUAAUCUAUUGGUAUAUAGAUUCAAAGUCUUGUGGGGGUUCAUUUGGUUCGACGCGAAGAAAAUCACAAAGUCGUGAAAUCUAAUUUUGAAAUUGGCGGUUUAAACGUGCAAAGAAAUGUACGCCAUUUUGUUUAAAGAAAAGGGUAAGAAUAAUUCGUUAAUGUUUGUUAUGAAA